ACCAUUAUGGUGUAAGCAAACACAACACAUUUUCAAUGUGUAGCUAAGUAAUCCUUUAAAGGUA
rnacentral:tRNA from 1 species